GCCGGCCAGUAGAUGGCUGCUGCCCACAGUGGCCAAUCGGGUGCCAACACGUCCUGUUAAAUCAACCAGUCGCCGCUCCCUUCUUCCAUUUCCUGGCCGCCAGGCUUCCAACGUACGAAGCCUGUCGUCUUCCUCCCCACGCCAUUUCCCUGUCGACGCUCCCUCCUAGCGUCUUCCCCCUUCCUCUGCCAGCGCUCAGGAUGCUCUUCGCUUCAGCCAUGGAUGAGACUCCUACGUGCCACUGCUCCAGCUAUGGACACCGGGGCGCCCUUCUCUGGCCCAUGGCCACCAGGGAGCGACAGCUCUUCCACUGCUCCCUCACGCCAGCAGCAGAUCACUAGCGCCCUUUCUUCCACCUCCGGCCCGCAGGGAUCUCCUCCCUCUCCCAUCCAUGGUCCCCCAAAUCUCCAACCGGAGCUCCGAAGGCCGCCUCCCUGGUGCACCUCGCCAGCAGCAGGGAUCUCUUCCCUUCCCCAGGCGCAGACGAGCUCCUACCUGUCCCUACGACUUCCAUGGCCGCCGGCCCCUGGGAGCUCCAUGCUCCACGCGCCCUCAACCAUGGCGCGAUGUCUCUGCUCCUCCCAUCCAUGGCGUCCGACCUCCUCUCCGUCUCCUCAAGCAGGUCGGGAACCUUUUCCUGGCGCCCUCCUCUACCGGCCAGCCUCCCCCUUCCCUGCUCUCCCCUUGGAUGCGACCUCUCUGCCCAGCGCCACCCCUCCCUUCCUCCCUUUCUGUGGCGAGCGCGGGUUCCCCAAGCCUCGACGCUCGGCACUCUGAACAGGGACGCCCAGAUCCUUGCCUCUCUGUUCCACGCACCUGGCCCUACCUCUCCAUCAAGCUGCUCUCCAGGCCAAAUGUCCCCCAUGCUGCCAGCUCUGCACCCAUGGCGAGCAGCCCUCCCGGCAGCGAGCUCCUCUGUCGGCCCCCAUCCCCUAGCAGCAGGAAGCCUCCCUGGGCGCUUGUUUCCCCGACGCUCGCCCCGUCAACAGACGUCGACCUCGCACAGCAGCAGCGACGCCCUUCGUUGCGUCGCGCUCGCCAGAACGGGCCUCAUGUCGUCGAUCUACGCAGCGUCUGCGCGUCGUCGUCGAAACCCGCGGACCGAGAGAUGAUGAUCGUGCAAGUGAUGUGGUGUCAACCACAAGAUGCAGUUGGUGGACGACUUGAAGAAUGAUGGAUCUAACAUGUGGAUGCUCGCCAAGCGAGUGUCAUCUAGCAGACACUAUCUGAUGUUGAAUUCCAGGACCGAGAGAUGAUGAUCGUGCAAGUGAUGUGGUGCCAACCACAAGAUGCCGUUGGUGGACGACCUGAAGAAUGAUGGAUCUAACCAGUGAAUGCUCGCCAAGCGAGUGUCAUCUAGCAAACACUAUCUGGUGUUGAAUUCCAGGCAAGCCCCGGUUUUAUGCAUAACCGUUAUAUAUAUGCUAUUUUACUGCACUUAAUGUUUGUAGGCUUGUGCUGUGCACUUAUGUGUAGGAGUUGCCUGAAACCCUAGUUGCAUGAACUCAGGAUUUCCUUUUGAGAAGGAUACUAGUAUGCUAGGUCGAGUAGCUGCUAUGCUAAAUCAGGAUCUUAGUAGAAGUCGAGUGAUUUUUCUAGCACUCGCGCGAGGUCAGGAAUUUGUUGUAUCCAUUUUUUAUAACAUAAUCAUGAUGGUCUGUGGACACGGAUACAUGGGGAUGUGUUGUCUAUGAGACGAAAUUGGAAUAAGGAUUAACGUGCGGGUACCUGUGUCAAGCGUUUGAACGUACUAAACACAUGUUGGGAAAUAUGGUAACCGGUAAGCCUAGUACCUGAGUAAAGCCGGGCACGGACUUUACCCCUCACUUGUCCUGAGACUGGGUCUCCCAUUCUAGAUAUGGUGGGUACAAGUGCGGCCACUGCACAGCGGUGGCCGGGGUCAGUGGAGCAUUGUAUGCCAAGGCGGUGAGGCCUGGCCGCAAACAGGGAAUUGAUGGGGACGGUUGAUGUGUGUGGGG
rnacentral:misc_RNA from 1 species